AGAAUCAACGCUGGCGGCGUGCCUAACACAUGCAAGUCGCACGAGAAAGGGGAGCAAUCCCUGAGUACAGUGGCGCACGGGUGAGUAACACGUGAAUCAUCUACCUCCGAGUGGGGAAUAACUGAGAGAAAUCUUGGCUAAUACCGCAUAAUACCCACGGGUCAAAGCAGCAAUGCGCUUGGAGAGGAGUUCGCGGCAGAUUAGUUAGUUGGCGGGGUAAUGGCCCACCAAGACGAUGAUCUGUA
rnacentral:rRNA from 1 species